rnacentral:lncRNA from 1 species
GGGGGGGGGGGGGGGGGGGGGGGGGGGGGGGGGGGGGGGGGGGGGGGGGGGGGGGGGGGGGGGGGGGGGGGGGGGGGGGGGGGGGGGGGGGGGUGCGCGCGCAGCUCGGCCCAGGCCCCGCCCCCGCGCCGCGCGCACCGGGCCCCGCGCGCCCCCUGCUGGAGCUCCCGGGCCGGGCGGGAGCGCUCUGGAAUUCCGUGUGCGCCGGGAUGCCCGACUGAGCAAGAAGCUGUAUCAGCAGUGAGCUGAGUAAGAAACUGCAGUUGUACCUACAACCUGCUCAGUCUUCAUCUGCCAUAACAUUUCACUGUGGCUGAACAGAAGGUCACAGGCCAACACUGGGCAUUAAUGAGCAGAGCAAAACUACUGCUUUGGAAGACAGAAAUACUAAAUUAAUAACGAAAUAUUUUUGCAGCACAGCUUACAUAAGCAGCAGAGAAUCAAAUUUUCUUGCCACCAAGAUAGGGAUAAAUCAAUUCUUCCUUCAGAUCUCCGUAUUUUUAAAUCUCCCUCAUGUGGAAACAAGGCUUUUCAUGACAGUAGAGAACUGUGGACAUUCUCAUUUGUUUAAAAGACUUCUUUGCAGUCUGGAUCUUGCAUUCAGUGCAUUACCCACUUUGUCUUUUAAAGUUCUUGCAAAAAAAAGUCUUCAUCCCAUCACAGAAGAAUGUCACAUAUGGAGGGCAUCCAUAUCUAUUCAUGCUAGCACCACUGCUGUAAUUUAAAACAAACAAUCCAACCCCUUUUCCUGCAUUGUGGAAAGUGACAAUUGUCUUGAUAUUGAUACCUGCAUAGCAUUACUGAGUGCAGCAAGAAAUGCGGUUUAGGUACUACAGUGAAGUGACACUUGAGUAAUUUUCCUAUUUCAUGCAUGUUUGUAGAUUUGCAUUUUACAGGAAACACAUUCUGCACAGGGCUGAUAAUGAAAGUAGAAAUGAGACUGGGAUGACACACGCUCUCAGUCCAGAUUUCCCAGAGCACCAGACUGCCCUUGGCAAGCAAUUCCUCCUCACCAGAAAGUUCAUGUACAACCUGCUCCUUGGUUGGCUGUCCAGACAAGUAACACUUGGAGGGUUGCACUUUUCUACUUUUCUGCUUGUAAGACAUGGCAAAUCACCGAAGCAAAAAAUCCACCACCAACUCCACCACUCACAACUCAAGCCAAUAUAA